CACCUAUGUUAUGAUAAAAGCGAAAAGAUGUAGUUCGUCGGAUGCGAAAAUAUUAAAAGAGAUCCAAAAAAGAGAGAAAAAAUAAAGCACACACCACUGGCCUACAUCCACAGACGAAGACAUAGCGAAAAUUUCAUUUUCAUUAUAAUUAAAAUAAUGUACAAAAUAUGUCUCUCUUAUAAAAUCCUAAUCCAAAAUAUACACUUAUACUUCUUCUUAUCGUCGCACCAUACACUCAUACUUCUUCUCAUCUGUCGCACCAAAGAGUAUAUUUAUAAUAGUGGCUAGUGGCUAAAUCUCAAUAAGAUUAGGCAUGUAAUAUGAAACUAUAAUAUAAAACUUAACUUAAUGGAAUAAUCAAAACAGAAUAGAGCUAGAAAAUAUUGCGGUUUUAGAAUUCGAGACAUAUCUAGCAACCUAUUACUAAAGUUUAAUAUGGUAUUAAUCGUGGUGGCCAAAAGUCUAUAUUAACAUCGCUAUGAAAAUUUUUCAUGUUUAUUUUCAUACAUUACGAUAUAUUUUCUAUAACCUUAUCAAAUAUAUAUAUAUAUAUAUAGAGUGAGGCUACUAUGCUAUCGGAAGCAUGGAGCCUUCCGUGCUUCCACCUCGUUUUCGAUGUUGCGACUUUCGAAUCGUCGAUCGGCUCCGUUAAACUUGAUCUAGAGUAUUUGAAGUACCUAGAAAAUAAAUUUUAUGAUUUUACGAUAUCAUUUGCCUAGUGAACGAAGGGGCUCAAAAUCAACGGCUGAAAAUAAAAAUCUUACAAAAAUGUAAUAAUAUGACAUUAAAAUUUUAAAUCAAAGAUAUUGAUCUUGUUUUAU
rnacentral:lncRNA from 1 species